ACUCCUAGCCUGACUAUUGGACCAAUCUAUAUAAACAUAGAAGCAACACUGUUAAUAUGAGUAACAAGAAAUUUUUCUCCUAGCACAAGCUUAUAUCAGCAACUGAUAAUAUACUGAUAAUUAACAGCAAAUAAAUAAAACCCAACACUAAAUUAUUUAUUAAGACACUGUUAACCCAACACAGGUGUGCAUUAAGGAAAGAUUAAAAAAAGUAAAAGGAACUCGGCAAACACAAACCCCGCCUGUUUACCAAAAACAUCACCUCUAGCAUAACCAGUAUUAGAGGCACUGCCUGCCCGGUGACUAGUCGUUAAACGGCCGCGGUAUCCUGACCGUGCAAAGGUAGCAUAAUCACUUGUUCUCUAAUUAAGGACUUGUAUGAAUGGCCACACGAGGGUUUUACUGUCUCUUACUUUUAAUUAGUGAAAUUGACCUCUCCGUGAAGAGGCGGAGAUAACAAAAUAAGACGAGAAGACCCUAUGGAGCUUCAAUUAAUCAACCCAAUAAAUCACAACCUUAAACCACCAAGGGACAACAAAAUUUUAUGUGGGUUGACAAUUUCGGUUGGGGUGACCUCGGAGCACAAAAAACCCUCCGAGUGAUUAAAACUUAGGCCCACUAGCCAAAGUGUAGUAUCAUUUAUUGAUCCAAUCUUUUGAUCAACGGAACAAGUUACCCUAGGGAUAACAGCGCAAUCCUAUUCUAGAGUUCAUAUCGACAAUAGGGUUUACGACCUCGAUGUUGGAUCAGGACAUCCUAAUGGUGCAACC
rnacentral:rRNA from 1 species